ensembl:lncRNA
GAAUUUAUAUGAAUCAUGAACUUUUUUAACAUGGAGUUGAUUUUCAAAUCCUCCUAAACUUCAUUAAUAUUCACAUUUUUCUGCUUUGCCAAACUUUCAGCUGAAGACACCAUUCAAACUGUUGACAAAAGUCUAAACUAUUUUAUAAAAAAAGCUUGAUAUCUUUUUCACUUUUUUCAUAAUCACCCUCCCUCACCUCUUCUACCACCCCCUCAACUAUCUCGUCUAAACCACCCCUUCCUCAAAUAAGCCCCUCCUAAUAUAUUCUUAUAUACUAUAUUUUGUAUCAUGGUUGAUUUGAAGCGUCAAUGUUAAUGUGACGGAGAGAAAAUGUUUCAUGGACUGAAGGGUGAAUUUAGAGGGAAGGAUUGUCAGGGUUCAGACUGAUCAGAUUAAAUACAUGAACAUCUGUCUGCGAUGGAGGAUUACCAAUCCGCCCUCAACUCGGACACCAAAUCCAUAAAUACCUCUCUUUGGUUUAUUCCUAAUAUUACCAUGCUUACAUUAAUGCGGUUGUUAACCUACAUAUUGUACAUUAACGCAUUAGCCGUGUUUGUCUACGGUAUUGCUGUUUUGUUUGUUGUGUUUGUUUUGUUUUGAUUGUAGGAAUAUUUGACGUCACUGUGUUGUUUCAUCCGUCCUUCCGUUAAGGAACAUUUUAACAGAUUAUUUAUCAUUACCAUCAGAUGAAUUACUUCUACCUUUGUGUAUAAAUACUUGACUUGAAUGAACAAACGUUGAAAUAUUCCUGAAUAUACAGAAGGUAUAUAUCAUGUUGAUGGAUUGUAUUGCUGUAUCAAUUUAUUCAUAUACUCUAGCGAGGCUUAUACGUAUUAAUACAUCACUGCUUUUACUUUUUAUAUAUAUAUAUAUUUAAUAAUAAUUCUUGCUUUUUGAGCGCCUCAGCACCAGAAGUCUUUGGGCAUCAUGCAUCCUAGCGAUUCAUUGCUAUCUGUCGCUUAUCAGCUACUUAUUGUUCGCUGGCUACUAUGGCAAAUUAAAUAUAAUUCCUUCCUUUAGGGUCGCUGUUUGAGGAGGAGGAGGAGGGUGUUGGUGGUGCAUGAAAGAUCUACCCAUCGGUUCAAACGUUUAGUCCACGUUUAGUCCACGUUUUAUCCAAACGUUUAGUCCACGUUUAGUCCACGUUUAGUCCACGUUUAGUCCAUGUUUAGUCCACGUUUAGUCCACGUUUAGUCCACGUUUAGUCCAUGUUUAGUCCACGUUUAGUCCAUGUUUAGUCCACGUUUAGUCCAUGUUUAGUCCACGUUUAGUCCAUGUUUAGUCCACGUUUAGCCCAAGUUUAGUCCACGUUUAGUCCAUGUUUAGUCCAUGUUUAGUCCACGUUUAGUCCACGUUUAGUCCAUGUUUAGUCCACGUUUAGUCCACGUAUGGUUUGGUGGUUGCAAAAAAAAGAAAGAAACGUGGUGUGAAGAAGAGAACUAAAUGGUGGCGGCCAAGAUGGCGAAGUCCAGAAACAAGAAGGUAACAACCUGGAUUUUGAGCUUCACGCUUCAUUUUUUAUCUUCACAGACCAACAGAGCGUUUUUCCCAACAGGUGGAUGAAUAACUUUCAGCAGAUUCUUUUCUUCCAAACCCGACACGCCUUCGCUCUCCAGUAAAGCGGGUCGACGGUGGCGCAUGGAGUAGAGAGGGUGCGCCGGCUUCUAACCCUUUAACUUCCUCUCUAGUGGUUAAUCUAUAUUAGAUAUUUAAUCUGUGUUUCACUGGUGCUUGUUUCCGCUCUACAUUCCUUGACACCAGAUAACACAAUCCGUACUUUAUAUAAUCCAUGCGGCGGUCUGGAGGUGAAAGUGUAUUUGAUCACCUGUGAUGGAGACCUGCACUCCUCCUCGUGUGAGGAAGACCUUCUUCCAGUAGAGGAGUAACAUCCUGUAAUUCAUCUAUUCAUUUACAUCGCUGACACCCCAGGUUAACGUUGUUACCGAGCCUGUUAGUGCUGCUUCCUGUGUGGGCGGGACCUGUGUGGGCCGUGGGGCAGCGUCUCAUUGGCCGCCGGCAGGUGCACUUUUGUGAGCGGCGGCUUUUUAAUGAGCGCCCGUGGGAAUCGGACUACCGAACCGGCGCUAACACAGCCGCCGGGCUGGGGGACUCCGUCUCCCAGCGUGCCCCCCCCCCCCCCCCCCCACCUAUUCCAGCUGUGGCUCGCGAUGCGGUCGUAGGUAGCCGGGGAGGGUUGCGAGAAGGCAGCUCCCCCUCGGUGGUCCUGGCUCCGCUUCAGGACCUCAGAGACAGAAGAAGGAACCUUGAAGCUGUGGGUUGAGAGUAAAAUACAGAUUCGCUCUGCUCUGGACUGAAUUCCCCAAAAACACUUUCAGAUGGUACAAGCUUCAGAAACCGCCCCAAAGAACAGCAGCGAUUGAGAAUCCUCCCAAAUACUUUGCCUGAGCUGAUAAUGGAUGAAGAUGAUCAUCGUGGCGGCUAUCGAGACACCCAGACCUUUACAUUGUAGAUAUUAUUGAAAAUGUUGUCUAGACUUUAAACUCAGCUGCCGAAAAAAGACAAUUUAAUAGAACACUAAUUAAGAUAUAAAUAUACUACAGCUAUACUGUAAAAUAAUACAGUAUAGCGUAGUAUCAACAGUAAUAUCACAUAAAGUAACGUCUCAAUGAUGAAUAAUUCAUUGGGUGAUAGCUAACAUUAGCAUUUUAACACCGAGUUACGCAGACGAGCGUCACUGGUUGACUUUUUAACUGAAAGAAACUUACAAGCUAGAAGAUCCUCAAGCAGGUUCUGCAGCAAUAGGAAUAAUUUGCAUCUAAGACAAAAAAUGAAUUUACUUAAGAUAUGACUACUAAAUGUUGAUCAGAUCGUGUUGUAACAUGGUAUAAUUUAUUAAAACAACCGUCAGUUUUUCUUUUCUUUGUGCAGUGGACAGUUGUUUAAUGUUUAAGCAUCUUUUGAGACAAUUAAUGGAGGAACAUCUUUUAUAAGGAGACUGUUUCAGAAGUGACUUCAACUCAGUACCUUGAAUGGACACAUGGAUGAUGUAACACACACACACACACACACACACACACACACACAGGAUGUGUUGUCAGGGCACCGUGACACCUCCUGACACACGCCACUGGAAGCCAUUUUGUUUCUGGGCUACCACUAACAAUAUGGCUGUCAGGGUGAGUGACAGCUGGCUGUGUGGUGGAUUGAAGCGUCAAGUGACAACUGACAGUGUGUUUGUGUGUGUGUCCUUGUUACUGACAUAGUGGGGACAUCUGUAGGGACUUUUCUGUUGGGUUACAAAAUGAAUAUGAGUCUCCACAUAUAUAUUGAAGAAGUAUCUUGCAGGAAAGGAAAGUACCUCAAUGGUAAAAUGAUUUGUGUACAUUCAUUUACGGCUGUAUUAGAGAUAAAGUUACUGGCAGAUUGGAUUUUUUUUUAACCUUGUGAACAGUCUCGCGUCUUUAAGCUAAGCUAAAGUGCCGCUAGCUUCCUUUCAUUUGACAGACAGCGCAGUGGCAUUGAGUGUGGUAUCUUUUAUAAUACCUCCUGUUCAGAGAAGAAGAGCAUGCAGUCUCUAUCUUAUCAGUAUUAUACAAUAAAGUGCAAUAAAGAUGCUUUUAAGCACACGUGUGUAUUCACACAAAACCAUCCUGAUGAAACCUUCAUGAGAAGAAACUAACCUGAGCCUCCGUGGUGGAGACUUUACACUCAAU